CACGUAGGCGGAUAUUUAAGUCAGGGGUGAAAUCCCAGAGCUCAACUCUGGAACUGCCUUUGAUACUGGGUAUCUCGAGUAUGGAAGAGGUGAGUGGAAUUCCGAGUGUAGAGGUGAAAUUCGUAGAUAUUCGGAGGAACACCAGUGGCGAAGGCGGCUCACUGGUCCAUUACUGACGCUGAGGUGCGAAAGCGUGGGGAGCAAACA
rnacentral:rRNA from 1 species